AGAGUUUGAUCCUGGCUCAGGAUGAACGCUAGCUACAGGCUUAACACAUGCAAGUCGAGGGGCAGCAUUGGAGUAGCAAUACUCAGAUGGCGACCGGCGCACGGGUGAGUAACACGUAUCCAACCUGCCGCUUACUCGGGGAUAGCCUUUCGAAAGAAAGAUUAAUACCCGAUGGUAUAAAGAGUUCGCAUGUUCUCUUUAUUAAAGAAUUUCGGUAAGCGAUGGGGAUGCGUUCCAUUAGAUAGUUGGCGGGGUAACGGCCCACCAAGUCUACGAUGGAUAGGGGUUCUGAGAGGAAGGUCCCCCACAUUGGAACUGAGACACGGCCAAACUCCUACGGGAGGCAGCAGUGAGGAAUAUUGGUCAAUGGACGAGAGUCUGAACCAGCCAAAAGUAGCGUGAAGGAUGACUGCCCUAUGGGUUGUAAACUUCUUUUAUAAGGGAAUAAAGUGAGGGACGUGUUCCCUUUUUGUAUGUACCUUAUGAAUAAGGAUCGGCUAACUCCGUGCCAGCCGCGGC
rnacentral:rRNA from 1 species